rfam:Oryza glaberrima chromosome 8 Oglab08_0017_13, whole genome shotgun sequence.
AAAAAGACAAACCAUGGGUUUACGUGUCCAACUUUGACUGUCCGUCUUAUAUGAAAUUUUUUUAUAAUUCGUAUUUUCAUUGUUGUUAGAUGAUAAACCAUGAUUAAUAUUUUAUGCGUGACUUGUCUUUUUAAUUUUCUUCAUAAUUUUUUCAAAUAAGACGAACGGUCAAAUGUUGGACACGGAAAUCAGGGUUUGGGUUUGUC